UUCAAGCUUGAGAUUCUGGUUCAAGCUUGAGGGAUGCCUGCUUCACGCUUGAGGGAUGCCUGGUUCAAGCUUGAGAGUUUGCUGGUUCAAGCUUGAGGGUACCAGAGGAGGCUUGAGGGCACCAGAUUCACGCUUGAGGGAUGCCUGGA